CAUCUGGCUGCCGGUAGGAGGGUUCACAGCGGAGUGUGUGAAGUUGUUGACUGAAGGCAACUGGCAGGCAUGGGCUUGUCACAAGCUGGAGCAAGUACAGCUUCUGGUACAGGGGUUAGCACUGUUGCCUCACAGCAAGAGGGAUCCUGGUUUGCUUCAUGGUCGGGCCUUUCUGUGUGGAGUUUGCAUGUUCUCCACAUGCAUGCGUGGGUUCUCUCCAGGCUUCAAUCAUCCAGUCCACCAAACAACAUCAAACAAGAGUCAGUGGCAUAAUAAGC